rnacentral:rRNA from 1 species
UACGGGGGAGCAAGCGUUGUUCGGAUUUACUGGGCGUAAAGGGCGCGUAGGCGGCCACCGCAAGUCGACUGUGAAAUCUCCGGGCUUAACCCGGAAAGGUCAGCCGAUACUGCGGGGCUAGAGUGCAGAAGGGGCAACUGGAAUUCUCGGUGUAGCGGUGAAAUGCGUAGAGAUCGGGAGGAAGGCCGGUGGCGAAGGCGGCGCUCUGGAACGUUUCUGACGCUGAGGCUCGAAAGCGUGGGGAGCAA